rnacentral:rRNA from 1 species
GCUAAGCCCUAAACAUUGAAAGCCACCAUACUAUGCUUUCCGCCAGAGAAUUACGAGCAACAAGCUUAAAACUCAAAGGACUUGACGGUGUCCCACAUCGACCUAGAGGAGCCUGUCCUAUAAUCGAUACCCCCCGUUCCACCCAACCUUUACUAGCAAAAACAGCCUAUAUACCGCCGUCGACAGUCUACCCCAUGAGGGUUUAACAGUAGAUAUAAUAGUUAAUAACUAAUACGUCAGGUCAAGGUGUAGCAAAUGUAAAGGAAGAGAUUGGCUACAUUUUUUAACUUAAAAAACACGAAAUGCACCAUGAAAUACUGCAUGAAGGCGAAUUUAGCAGUAAAAUAAACAAGAGAGUUUAUUUUAACACCGCUCUGGGACGCGU